rnacentral:rRNA from 1 species
CGACCGGCGCACGGGUGAGUAACGCGUAUGCAACCUACCUAUCAGAGGGGGAUAGCCCAUCGAAAGAUGGAUUAAUACCGCAUAAAACAGGGACUCCGCAUGGAGAUAUUGUUAAAGAGAUUCGCUGAUAGAUGGGCAUGCGUUCCAUUAGUUAGUUGGUGUAGGUAACGGCUCACCAAGACAUCGAUGGAUAGGGGUUCUGAGAGGAAGGUCCCCCACACUGGUACUGAGACACGGCCCAA